GACCCUAUGGCCGCGUGGUUAAGGCGAUAUCUGUUGGUAUUUUACCGCGCAGAUUCAAACCCUGCUGGUGUCG